rnacentral:rRNA from 1 species
GAGUUUGAUCUUGGCUCAGAUUGAACGCUGGCGGCAUGCCUUACACAUGCAAGUCGAACGGCAGCACGGGAGCUUGCUCCUGGUGGCGAGUGGCGAACGGGUGAGUAAUGCAUCGGAACGUAUCCUGGAGUGGGGGAUAACGUAGCGAAAGUUACGCUAAUACUGCAUAUUCUGUGAGCAGGAAAGCGGGGGACCUUCGGGCCUCGCGCUCUUGGAGCGGCCGAUGUCGGAUUAGCUAGUUGGUGAGGUAAAGGCUCACCAAGGCGACGAUCCGUAGCAGGUCUGAGAGGAUGAUCUGCCACACUGGAACUGAGACACGGUCCAGACUCCUACGGGAGGCAGCAGUGGGGAAUUUUGGACAAUGGGGGCAACCCUGAUCCAGCCAUGCCGCGUGAGUGAAGAAGGCCUCGGUUGUAAG